GAACAGACCUGGGAUUGUCGGGAUGAUUAUGUAGUCAUGAGACGCUAGCAAAAUUGCUGUGCUACUGCAAUAGGCACCAGAAAUUGAAACACCAGCAAGGCCACAAAUUGGUGGGUCGUGGAGCAAGGAGAGCAGUUUGUGCUGAACAGCUGGGGCACGAGCCAGAAAUCUCAUUAAAGUUAACAUUCUUAAUAAAGGAUCCCGGAAUAAGGAAUGAUGAACACAAUGGGAUAUAGAAGAGAAAAGUGGCUAUGAAAUUUGAAAGAAAAAAUGAAG